UACAGAGGGGGCAAGCGUUGUUCGGAAUUACUGGGCGUAAAGGGCGCGUAGGCGGCCUGUUAAGUCGAACGUGAAAUCCCCGGGCUCAACCCGGGAACUGCGUCCGAUACUGGCAGGCUUGAAUCCGGGAGAGGGAUGCGGAAUUCCAGGUGUAGCGGUGAAAUGCGUAGAUAUCUGGAGGAACGCCGGUGGCGAAGGCGGCAUCCUGGACCGACACUGACGCUGAGGAGCGAAAGCCAGGGGAGCAAACGGG
rnacentral:rRNA from 1 species